AACGAACGCUGGCGGCAUGCCUAACACAUGCAAGUCGAACGAGACCUUCGGGUCUAGUGGCGCACGGGUGCGUAACGCGUGGGAACCUGCCUUUAGGUUCGGAAUAACUCAGAGAAAUUUGAGCUAAUACCGGAUAAUGUCUUCGGACCAAAGAUUUAUCGCCUUUAGAUGGGCUCGCGUAAGAUUAGGUAGUUGGUGGGGUAAUGGCCUACCAAGCCGACGAUCUUUAGCUGGUCUGAGAGGAUGAUCAGCCACACUGGGACUGAGACACGGCCCAGACUCCUACGGGAGGCAGCAGUGGGAAAUAUUGGACAAUGGGCGAAAGCCUGAUCCAGCAAUGCCGCGUGAGUGAUGAAGGCCUUAGGGUUGUAAAGCUCUUUUACCAGGGAUGAUAAUGACAGUACCUGGAGAAUAAGCUCCGGCUAACUCCGUGCCAGCCGCCGCGGUAACAC
rnacentral:rRNA from 1 species